CACGGACCAAGGAGUCUAACAUGUGCGCGAGUCAUUGUACUCGACUAGAUACACAGGCGCAAUGAAGGUGAACGCAGGUCUGACGGAGCGUUUCGGCAAGACCGGCCCGUCCCAUAUCGCGUGCGUCGAUGUGGAUGGAGCAAGAGCGCAAAUGUUGGUACCCGAAAGAUGGUGAACUAUGCCCGAGUAGGACGAAGCCAGAGGAAACUCUGGUGGAGGUCCGUAGCGAUUC
rnacentral:rRNA from 1 species